ACACCCCAUGAUUUACCCCUUGCAGUGUACUUAUUACACUGUAUUGGAAUCGCUUCUUUUCUCUUUCUCUGUGAAUUUCUUGAGAGCACAGACUACAUUCUGCUUAACUUUUUAUCCCCAGCUUUCAGCACAGUGCCUGGCUGCUUUGGCGUCUCCAAGUACCUGACCUCAGCUCAACCUGUCUUGGGUUUUCUUCUCCUCCCUGACAUUGACAACCCAGCCCUCCUAGGCACAGAGAGAUGGAGCUGAGUGUGGUUUUCCUGAAAUAAAGCUUGCAUUAUGAGAGGGAAUAAACAGUGUCUGAGGCGCAUGGCCCCGGGAGAGGAGGAGAAUGGGACGGUGGUUCAGAUCUGCUGAUGUAGCUGUGGUCAGUCACUGGGGAGAAUAGGCCUGUGGAUUUCUGCUCCUCUGAGAUGGAUCCAUCACUGACUACUGAACUUGUUUUCUCAUUGGCUCAACUUAAGAAGGUUCUAGAGGAUCAAGGACGUGAAACAACCAAAACCAAAGAGCAGCUGGAGACCACUUGCCAGUGAUUAGCACGAGGGAACUGACUUCUUCCUCCUCAUGGUCCACUUGAAAUUCCAGGAAAAGGAACAGAUGUGCAAGGAAUUGCAGCCUGGAGAAACAUAGUGUAUUUGGAGACUUGCAUGUAAAUGGAUAAGUAGGUGUAGGAGGAGAAGCUGGGUCACAUUUUCCUAAAUUUUAUUCCACAAAACACUAGUUCUGUGAGACGCUCUAUGGAAAUUGGUCCCAUGAUCAGUACAUUUGGGGCAUGCUGCAUGUUGUAUUCCCUGUUGUCUUAUAUUGGAUUUCCUAAAAAUAGACUCUGAGGUGGAGACUUAUGUGCAGAAGGUCUCUUGGCGAAUGCUCCAGGGAGGCGUGCGUGUAAGGAAGUGAGACAGACCCACCUCAGGCCCCUGGGACUUCCACUGGCCAGACGCCCUGUGCCUACUUGUGUCAUGGGAUACAGGGCCCAUCUCUUCCCAUCUCCACACUCUGACCACACGCUAGUAGCUUGAAAUCAGCCAUGGUGCAACUAUUGGCAUCACAAAAAUGGACAAAUGCUUCAAACUGGGGCCUGACUUAUUGUUUUGUUGAUUGCCAGGCUUAAAAAGUGAUGGAAAGGAUGCUAAUAAUGCAUAUUAAACCAAAAAAGUGCGUCAUGUCUGUAGCUGUGACAUUGUGAAUAGCACAAGCAUUGAGGUUACAUGCUUCUGAUAUUUGAAAACCCUUAUUGGAUUCAACAAAGAAUUCACUCAUGUCAUUGUCUAUCAGGUGAAGCUCUGAUGCACAUUUUUUGCUUUCACUUUUGCCUUAUUCAUUAAUAUAAACAGAAUGUCAAUCAACCUUCAUGUUGUGUCUACGCUCAAUCAUCCCUGAUGACCCUACGCUGACUACAGAUGCAGAAUUCAGCAAAAACCAAUGAAAGCAUUCGGUGAGAAUCAAUGGCUAUAUGGAGCUUACAAUAAACCGUAUUGUGUAUUUUAUUAUUACG
ensembl:lncRNA novel transcript, antisense to C7orf33 and CNTNAP2